GAUGAACGCUGGCGGCGUGCCUAAUACAUGCAAGUCGAGCGAACGGACGAGAAGCUUGCUUCCCUGAUGUUAGCGGCGGACGGGUGAGUAACACGCGGAUAACCUACCUAUAAGACUGGGAUAACUUCGGGAAACCGGAGCUAAUACCGGAUGAUAUUUUGAACCGCAUGGUUCAAAAGUGAAAGACGGUCUUGCUGUCACUUAUAGAUGGAUCCGCGCUGCAUUAGCUAGUUGGUAAGGUAACGGCUUACCAAGGCAACGAUGCAUAGCCGACCUGAGAGGGUGAUCGGCCACACUGGAACUGAGACACGGUCCAGACUCCUACGGGAGGCAGCAGUAGGGAAUCUUCCGCAAUGGGCGAAAGCCUGACGGAGCAACGCCGCGUGAGUGAUGAAGGUCUUCGGAUCGUAAAACUCUGUUAUUAGGGAAGAACAUAUGUGUAAGUAACUGUGCACAUCUUGACGGUACCUAAUCAGAAAGCCACGGCUAACUACGUG
rnacentral:rRNA from 1 species